rnacentral:rRNA from 1 species
GACAGAGGCCUCAAGCGUUAGGCGGAAUCACUGGGCUUAAAGCGUGUGUAGGCGGAUCGUUAAGUGUCUUGUGAAAUCCCACGGCUCACCCGUGGAACGGCUGGGCAUACUGGCGGUCUUGAGCCAUCUAGGGGCGACUGGAACAAACGGUGGAGCGGUGAAAUGCGUAGAUAUCGUUUGGAACGCCAAUGGUGAAAACAGGUCGCUGGGGAUGAGCUGACGCUGAGACACGAAAGCCAGGGGAGCAAACGGG